GGUUUUCUCACAUGCCAAGACCUACUAAGCUAGUUUGAGCUGCGAUAAGCUCUUCAGAUCACUACUGAUGUGCUUGACCUCAGCUUGGGCUGCACUGCUGUCCACUCCAGAGAAGACCUAGCAGCACAGAAGGAGGUCACAAUCAGUGUUUCCAAAUAAAUAAAGAUAUACCCAUCCAUCCCAAUUAUUUCACUCAUUUGCCCUGGAGAAGGAAUGUCAGGCUUUGUUUAGUAGGUUGUUUGUAAUCUGAAGUUCUCUGUCAAUUUGUCCCACCU
rnacentral:lncRNA from 1 species